rnacentral:misc_RNA from 1 species
UUGCCCUAAUAACUCGUACAAUUUUUGAUUUUUCAUACAAGUAUAAAAUAUAUGAACUCAUAUAAGUUGCAAUUUUAUACAUUUUUACUUCCGUGAGGUGUGUUUGGCGCAAAACAUUUGUAUAUUUGCACAUUUUUGGAGAAUCGGAACUUGUAUGGAAAUCUUUUAACUAAGUUAGGUUAACUUAGUACUUGUAUGGGAAUCUUAGUUAAUGCUAAGUUAGGUCAACUUAGUGUUACUACUUGUAUUAAAAAUUAUACAUUUACUAACUAAUUCAUGUAUGUAAAGUGAGUUAAUAAAUUCUGUUAGUACCUGUAUGAAAUAUUAUUAUUUCUUAUACGAGUUCACAAAAUUGAUACUUGUAUGAGUUAAGUAUAAGUUAUACGAGUUGAAUAAAUUAGUACUUGUAUGAAUGAUAUAUGAACUUGUAUGAGUUAGUAAAUUUAAUACUUGUGAGAAAACUUAUGAUCUCUUCUAUAAUAAGAGGUAUGAAAAUUUGUAACUUGUACUAGAAGUUAAUAAAAUUUGUACUUGUAUCGAAAACUUGUACGAGUUACUGAACUUAUUACUUGUAUGAAAGUUAAUGAACUUAUAUGAGUUGAUAAAUUUUAUACUUGUAUGAAAAAAUUUCCACUUAUUUUUAUAUUAGUUGUGAUAAUAAAAUUUGAAUACCUGUAUGAGAUUUUAAUAUUGUAUGAGAAUUUAAUACUCUUACGAAAAUUUAGAACUUGUAUGAGUUUAUAAUAUUAGUACUUGUAUGAAAUAUUUAAACUUGUAUGAGUUGAUAGAUUUAAUACAUGUAUGAAAAAUUUUAAAUGAAUUUAUAGUACAUAUUUUUUUAUGUAUUUCCAUGCAAAGUUUUUGUUUUAAUUGUGUUUUUAAUCCUGGUCUUA